rnacentral:rRNA from 1 species
AGCGAACGCUGGCGGCAGGCCUAACACAUGCAAGUCGAGCGCCCCGCAAGGGGAGCGGCAGACGGGAGAGUAACACGUGGGAACGUGCCCUUUGGUUCGAAACGACCCAGGGAAACUUGGGCUAAUACCGGAUAAGCCCUAACGGGGAAAGAUUUAUCGCCGAAGGAUCGGCCCGCGUCUGAUUAGCUAGUUGGUGGGGUAAUGGCCCACCAAGGCGACGAUCAGUAGCUGGUCUGAGAGGAUGAUCAGCCUCACUGGGACUGAGACACGGCCCAGACUCCUACGGGAGGCAGCAGUGGGGAAUAUUGGACAAUGGGCGCAAGCCUGAUCCAGCCAUGCCGCGUGGGUGAUGAAGGCCCUAGGGUUGUAAAGCCCUUUCGGCGGGGAAGAUAAUGACGGUACCCGCAGAAGAAGCCCCGGCUAACUUCGUGCCAGCCGCCGCCGUAAUAC